GCGCCUGUAGCUCAACUGGAUAGAGCACGGACCUUCUAAGUCCGGGGUUGGGGGUUCGAUUCCCUCCAGGCGCG
rnacentral:tRNA from 1 species